rnacentral:rRNA from 1 species
UAGGGAAUCUUCCGCAAUGGACGAAAGUCUGACGGAGCAACGCCGCGUGAGUGAAGAAGGAUUUCGGUUCGUAAAACUCUGUUGUUAGGGAAGAAAAAAUGUAUAGUAACUAUAUACAAAAGAGACGGUACCUAACCAGAAAGCCACGGCUAACUACGUGCCAGCAGCCGCGGUAAUACGUAGGUGGCAAGCGUUGUCCGGAAUUAUUGGGCGUAAAGCGCGCGCAGGUGGUUUAGAAAGUCUGAUGUGAAAGCCCACGGCUCAACCGUGGAGGGUCAUUGGAAACUAAUAAACUUGAGUGCAGGAGAGAAAAGUGGAAUUCCUAGUGUAGCGGUGAAAUGCGUAGAGAUUAGGAGGAACACCGGUGGCGAAAGCGGCUCUUUGGCCUGCAACUGACACUGAGGCGCGAAAGCGUGGGGAGCAAACAGG